rnacentral:rRNA from 2 species
GAUACCCUACUAUACUAGGAAGUAAAAUUAAAACCAGAUUAUUAAUAGAUAUAUUCUUUAAAUUUAAAGAAUUUGGCGGUGACUUAGUCUUGUCAGAGGAACCUGUUUUUGAAUCGAUACACCACGUGAAAUCUUACUUGCUCUUGUUUUUAGCUUAUAUACCGUCAUUAGCAGAUAAUUUUAAAAGAAUUAAUUAUUGUAGUUUAAUAAUUUAAUAGAAAUUAGAUCAAGGUGUAGCUUAUGGGUAAGUUAAAAUGGGUUACAAUAAAUUAUAUUUAUAACGGAGUAGCUAAGGAAGAAAAUUAGCUAAAAAGGAGGAUUUGAUUGUAAUUUAAGUUUAAUAUGCUUAAAAGAUAUAAGCUCUAAGUCAUGUACAU